rnacentral:rRNA from 1 species
CUCUUGAGAGCGGCGGACGGGUGAGUAAUACCUGGGAAUCUGCCUGAUAGUGGGGGAUAACGUUCGGAAACGGACGCUAAUACCGCAUACGUCCUACGGGAGAAAGCAGGGGAUCUUCGGACCUUGCGCUAUCAGAUGAGCCCAGGUCGGAUUAGCUUGUUGGUGAGGUAAAGGCUCACCAAGGCGACGAUCCGUAACUGGUCUGAGAGGAUGAUCAGUCACACUGGAACUGAGACACGGUCCAGACUCCUACGGGAGGCAGCAGUGGGGAAUAUUGGACAAUGGGCGCAAGCCUGAUCCAGCCAUGCCGCGUGUGUGAAGAAGGCCUUCGGGUUGUAAAGCACUUUCAGCGAGGAGGAAGGGGUGUGUGUUAAUAGCACAUAUCUUUGACGUUACUCGCAGAAGAAGCACCGGCUAACUCCGUGCCAGCAGCCGCGGUAAUACGGAGGGUGCAAGCGUUAAUCGGAAUUACUGGGCGUAAAGCGCACGCAGGCGGCUUGUUAAGUCGGAUGUGAAAGCCCCGGGCUCAACCUGGGA